AACUUUUUGCAACGUAUCUCUUGGUUCUGGCAUCGGUUAAGAACGCAGCGAAAUGCGAUAAGUAAUGCGAAUUGCAGAAUUCCAGUGAGUCAUCGAAUCUUUGAACGCACAUUGCGCCCUUUGGUAUUCCGAAGGGCAUGCCUGUUCGAGCGUCAUUAUCACCCCUCAAGCCCCGUGCUUGGUGUUGGACGGCCGGUCGAGCGAUCGACCUCUCCUAAAGACAAUGACGGCGGCCUGUGGUUCCCCCGGUACACUGAGCUUUUAACGGAGCACGUACCGGACCAGGGCACCCGGGACCCGGUCCUCUCCUUUCACUAGGAAACUUCUAAGGUUGACCUCGGAUCAGGUAGGAAUACGCGCUGAACUUAAGCAUAUCAAUAAGCGGAGGCU
rnacentral:misc_RNA from 1 species